AUUGAACGCUGGCGACAUGCCUUACACAUGCAAGUCGAGCGGCAGCACGGGUGCUUGCACCUGGUGGCGAGUGGCGAACGGGUGAGUAAUACAUCGGGACAUGUCCUGUAGUGGGGGAGAGCCCGGCGAAAGCCGGGUUGAUACCGCAUACGAUCUACGUCUGCAGGCGGGGGCCCUUCGGACCUCGCGCUAUCGGGUUGGCCGAUGGCUGAUUAGCUAGUUGGUGGGGUAAAGGCCUACCAAGGCGACGAUCAGUAGCUGGUCUGAGAGGACGACCAGUCACACUGGGACGGAGACACGGCCCAGACUCCUACGGGAGGCAGCAGUGGGGAAUUUUGGACAAUGGGCGAAAGCCUGAUCCAGCAAUGCCGCGUGUGUGAAGAAGGCCUUCGGGUUGUAAAGCACUUUUGUCAGGAAAGAAAUCCUUGGCCCUAAUACGGGCGGGGGAUGACGGUACCGGAAGAAUAAGCACCGGCUAACUACGUG
rnacentral:rRNA from 1 species